GUAAUUUGACCGUGCAAAGGUAGCAUAGUAAAUAGUCUUUUAAUUGGGGGCUUGAAUGAAAGGUUUGACGGAGGAGAAGCUGUCUUGAUUUGUUAGGGUUGAAUUUAACUUUUGUGUGAAAAGGCAUUAAUGAUUUAGAGGGACGAUAAGACCCUAUAAAACUUUACAUGUAAUAUUGUUUGGGAAAAAAGUUUAAUUAACUGCUAAUUGGUUGAUUGUGUUUUGCUGGGGUGGCAGAAAUAUAAUUCUAACUGUUUUAAGUAUAAAAUAUUUAUUAAUAGAAGAUGGUCCUUUAUUUAAGAGGAAAGAGUAAGUUACUUUAGGGAUAACAGCAUAAUCUCUUUUGAGAGUUCUUAUCGAAGAUGGUGGUUGUGACCUCGAUGUUGAAUUAAAUUUUCCUUUAGGUGUAGGA
rnacentral:rRNA from 1 species